AGAGUUUGAUCCUGGCUCAGGACGAACGCUGGCGGCGCGCCUAACACAUGCAAGUCGAACGAGCGAGAGAGAGCUUGCUUUCUCGAGCGAGUGGCGAACGGGUGAGUAACGCGUGAGGAACCUGCCUCAAAGAGGGGGACAACAGUUGGAAACGACUGCUAAUACCGCAUAAGCCCACAGGUCGGCAUCGACCAGGGGGAAAAGGAGCAAUCCGCUUUGAGAUGGCCUCGCGUCCGAUUAGCUAGUUGGUGAGGUAACGGCCCACCAAGGCAACGAUCGGUAGCCGGACUGAGAGGUUGAACGGCCACAUUGGGACUGAGACACGGCCCAGACUCCUACGGGAGGCAGCAGUGGGGAAUAUUGCACAAUGGGGGAAACCCUGAUGCAGCGACGCCGCGUGGAGGAAGAAGGUCUUCGGAUUGUAAACUCCUGUUGUUGAGGAAGAUAAUGACGGUACUCAACAAGGAAGUGACGGCUAACUACGUGCCAGCAGCCGCGGUAAAACGUAGGUCACAAGCGUUGUCCGGAAUUACUGGGUGUAAAGGGAGCGCAGGCGGGAAGACAAGUUGGAAGUGAAAUCCAUGGGCUCAACCCAUGAACUGCUUUCAAAACUGUUUUUCUUGAGUAGUGCAGAGGUAGGCGGAAUUCCCGGUGUAGCGGUGGAAUGCGUAGAUAUCGGGAGGAACACCAGUGGCGAAGGCGGCCUACUGGGCACCAACUGACGCUGAGGCUCGAAAGUGUGGGUAGCAAACAGGAUUAGAUACCCUGGUAGUCCACACCGUAAACGAUGAUUACUAGGUGUUGGAGGAUUGACCCCUUCAGUGCCGCAGUUAACACAAUAAGUAAUCCACCUGGGGAGUACGACCGCAAGGUUGAAACUCAAAGGAAUUGACGGGGGCCCGCACAAGCAGUGGAGUAUGUGGUUUAAUUCGACGCAACGCGAAGAACCUUACCAAGUCUUGACAUCCUGCGACAGUUCUGGAAACAGUACUUUCCUUCGGGACGCAGAGACAGGUGGUGCAUGGCUGUCGUCAGCUCGUGUCGUGAGAUGUUGGGUUAAGUCCCGCAACGAGCGCAACCCUUAUGGUCAGUUACUACGCAAGAGGACUCUGGCCAGACUGCCGUUGACAAAACGGAGGAAGGUGGGGAUGACGUCAAAUCAUCAUGCCCCUUAUGACCAGGGCUACACACGUGCUACAAUGGCGUAAACAAAGAGAAGCGAACUCGCGAGGGUAAGCAAAUCUCAAAAAUAACGUCUCAGUUCGGAUUGUAGUCUGCAACUCGACUACAUGAAGCUGGAAUCGCUAGUAAUCGCAGAUCAGAAUGCUGCGAUGAGUACGUUCCCGGGUCUUGUACACACCGCCCGUCACACCAUGGGAGUCAGUAACGCCCGAAGUCAGUGACCCAACCGUAAGGAGGGAGCUGCCGAAGGUGGGACCGAUAACUGGGGUGAAGUCGUAACAAGGUA
rnacentral:rRNA from 1 species